ensembl:rRNA 5S_rRNA 5S ribosomal RNA
GUCUACGGCCAUACCACCCUGAACACGCCCGAUCUCGUCUGAUCUUGGGAGCUAAGCAGGGUCGGGUCUGGUUAGUACUUGGAUGGGAGAAAAGAAAUGCUCACC